rnacentral:rRNA from 2 species
UACGUAGGUGGCGAGCGUUAUCCGGAUUUACUGGGUGUAAAGGGCGUGUAGGCGGGCUGACAAGUCGGAUGUGAAAUUCCCGGGCUUAACCCGGGCGGGUCAUCCGAAACUGUCGGUCUUGAGUACUGGAGAGGAUAGUGGAAUUCCUAGUGUAGCGGUAAAAUGCGUAGAUAUUAGGAGGAACACCAGUGGCGAAGGCGGCUAUCUGGACAGUAACUGACGCUGAGGCGCGAAAGCGUGGGGAGCAAACAGG